rnacentral:rRNA from 1 species
AGUGAACGCUGGCGGCAGGCCUAACACAUGCAAGUCGAACGGCAGCACAAGAGAGCUUGCUCUCUGGGUGGCGAGUGGCGGACGGGUGAGGAAUGCAUCGGAAUCUGCCCAUUUGUGGGGGAUAACCUCGGGAAACCGGGACUAAUACCGCAUACGACCUACGGGUGAAAGCAGGGGAUCUUCGGACCUUGCGCAGAUGGAUGAGCCGAUGCCGGAUUAGCUAGUUGGAGGGGUAAAGGCCCACCAAGGCGACGAUCCGUAGCUGGUCUGAGAGGAUGAUCAGCCACACUGGGACUGAGACACGGCCCAGACUCCUACGGGAGGCAGCAGUGGGGAAUAUUGGACAAUGGGCGCAAGCCUGAUCCAGCCAUGCCGCGUGUGUGAAGAAGGCCUUCGGGUUGUAAAGCACUUUUGUUGGGAAAGAAAAGCAGCCGGUUAAUACUCGGUUGUCAUGACGGUACCCAAAGAAUAAGCACCGGCUAACUUCGUG